GAGCUUGCUCCACCGGAAAAAGAAGAGUGGCGAACGGGUGAGUAACACGUGGGUAACCUGCCCAUCAGAAGGGGAUAACACUUGGAAACAGGUGCUAAUACCGUAUAACAAUCGAAACCGCAUGGUUUUGAUUUGAAAGGCGCUUUCGGGUGUCGCUGAUGGAUGGACCCGCGGUGCAUUAGCUAGUUGGUGAGGUAACGGCUCACCAAGGCCACGAUGCAUAGCCGACCUGAGAGGGUGAUCGGCCACAUUGGGACUGAGACACGGCCCAAACUCCUACGGGAGGCAGCAGUAGGGAAUCUUCGGCAAUGGACGAAAGUCUGACCGAGCAACGCCGCGUGAGUGAAGAAGGUUUUCGGAUCGUAAAACUCUGUUGUUAGAGAAGAACAAGGAUGAGAGUAACUGUUCAUCCCUUGACGGUAUCUAACCAGAAAGCCACGGCUAACUACGUGCCAGCAGCCGCGGUAAUACGUAGGUGGCAAGCGUUGUCCGGAUUUAUUGGGCGUAAAGCGAGCGCAGGCGGUUUCUUAAGUCUGAUGUGAAAGCCCCCGGCUCAACCGGGGAGGGUCAUUGGAAACUGGGAGACUUGAGUGCAGAAGAGGAGAGUGGAAUUCCAUGUGUAGCGGUGAAAUGCGUAGAUAUAUGGAGGAACACCAGUGGCGAAGGCGGCUCUCUGGUCUGUAACUGACGCUGAGGCUCGAAAGCGUGGGGAGCAAACAGGAUUAGAUACCCUGGUAGUCCACGCCGUAAACGAUGAGUGCUAAGUGUUGGAGGGUUUCCGCCCUUCAGUGCUGCAGCUAACGCAUUAAGCACUCCGCCUGGGGAGUACGACCGCAAGGUUGAAACUCAAAGGAAUUGACGGGGGCCCGCACAAGCGGUGGAGCAUGUGGUUUAAUUCGAAGCAACGCGAAGAACCUUACCAGGUCUUGACAUCCUUUGACCACUCUAGAGAUAGAGCUUCCCCUUCGGGGGCAAAGUGACAGGUGGUGCAUGGUUGUCGUCAGCUCGUGUCGUGAGAUGUUGGGUUAAGUCCCGCAACGAGCGCAACCCUUAUUGUUAGUUGCCAUCAUUCAGUUGGGCACUCUAGC
rnacentral:rRNA from 1 species